rnacentral:rRNA from 1 species
GUAGUCAUAUGCUUGUCUCAAAGAUUAAGCCAUGCAUGUCUAAGUAUAAGCAAUUAUACCGCGAAACUGCGAAUGGCUCAUUAUAUAAGUUAUCGUUUGUUUGGUAGUACCUUACUACUUGGAUAACCGUGGUAAUUCUAGAGCUAAUACACGCAUAAAAUCCCGACUUCGGAAGGGAUGUAUUUAUUAGAUUAAAAACCAAUGCCCUUCGGGGCUCACUGGUGAUUCAUGAUAACUCCUCGAAUCGCAUGGCCUUGUGCCGGCGAUGGUUCAUUCAAAUUUCUUCCCUACCAACUUUCGAUGUUUGGGUAUUGGCCAAACAUGGUUGCAACGGGUAACGGGGAAU